AUUGAACGCUGGCGGCAGGCCUAACACAUGCAAGUCGAGCGAGCGGCGGACGGGUGAGAGUAGUAUGGGGGCUGCGCGAGAGAGGGGGAUAACUACUGGAAAAGGUGUCGCAUAUCGCGUACUCUCUGAGAACGCAUAUGGGAUUAGCUAGUGGGUGAGGUAAUGGCUCACCUAGGCGACGAUCCCUAGCUGGUCUGUGAGGAUGAUCAGCCACACUGGGACUGAGACACGGCCCAGACUCCUACGGAGGCAGCAGUGGGGAAUAUUGCACAAUGGGCGCAAGCCUGAUGCAGCCAUGCCGCGUGUAUGAAGAAGGCCCUAGGGUUGUAAAGUACUUUCAGUCGGGAGGCGUUACCGGCAGAAGAAGCACCGGCUAACUCCGUGCCAGCAGCCGCGGUAAUUC
rnacentral:rRNA from 1 species